CAAUUGCGUGCACGCGGCAUACGUCACUUGGUAUUCCGUUGCCUCUUAUUAGCCAAAUGCACGAACAGAUAUAUUCGUACUCGUUUCAUCGCGGUAUUACUCGAUUGAGUUAAUAACUGUUUACUGCCGUGGAGUUUGAAAUUGUCGUGCUGUGAACGUAACUUGCCUCGGGGAUUGCGGCGCUCGAAAGUGCUCCGAGCAAGAAAAUCAUUAUGCGGCUGGUUCCUGCAUCAGGCUAAACGUUCACCAGCCCGCGAACGGAAAUAUUUACGGUGUGUCGCGAAUGUCGCAAUGAAAACGAAAUCACGCUGUUUCGAUUAAGUGCUGUCGGUGGAAGAAGUGAGGCUGUAAAAUUGAUUGAGCGUUCAAAUUUACGUCACUUAAGACAGACAGAAGAGGACGCUGUAUAACGUGGUACUAUAAUUAGUCAUGAGGAGAGACACUGCGUGAAACACAGAUACAAUUCUUUUUUCCAUAUUUUUUAACACUGCAACUGUCCUUCAAGACAGAACAGCCUUUUGCAUGUACGUCGAAGAAUAUCGAUAACAUAAAAUGGAACAAGCACGUUACUGUAAACCAGCGCAUAUCGUCUUACGAAAGAAGGAUCGUUAUGAAAUAUCAUUGACCCUGUAUCAAGAAUUCUCCUCGCUCUCCAUGUUUCUCUCGGUGGUUUUGCUGGAUCGCUGGAUUACGUCAACUUUAUUUUUAACCGAAUAACGCGCGAGAACCUACGACCUUCGCCUGGUUUGGAAGUGAAAGUACUCGACGAACUUCUUCCGCCACUGUCUUUGUAUUUAUUUUAUUUCCCUUGAAACAUCGGUAACUCGAUUAUAUCAUUCGCUACACUAUGCUGAACUCACGUAUUCUACCGAUAUUUAUUUACAGAGAAAACUCAGCCAAUAAAAUUCUUUUCCUAUUCGUGAA